rnacentral:rRNA from 1 species
CCUACGGGAGGCAGCAGUGAGGAAUAUUGGUCAAUGGACGCAAGUCUGAACCAGCCAUGCCGCGUGCAGGAAGACGGCUCUAUGAGUUGUAAACUGCUUUUGUACGAGGGUAAACGCAGAUACGCGUAUCUGUCUGAAAGUACCGUACGAAUAAGGAUCGGCUAACUCCGUGCCAGCAGCCGCGGUAAUACGGAGGAUCCAAGCGUUAUCCGGAUUUAUUGGGUUUAAAGGGUGCGUAGGCGGUCUGAUAAGUUAGAGGUGAAAUUCCGAGGCUCAACUUCGGAAUUGCCUCUGAUACUGUUCGGCUAGAGAGUAGAUGCGGUAGGCGGAAUGUAUGGUGUAGCGGUGAAAUGCUUAGAGAUCAUACAGAACACCGAUUGCGAAGGCAGCUUACCAAGCUACUUCUGACGUUGAGGCACGAAAGCGUGGGGAGCAAACAGGAUUAGAUACCCCAGUAGUC